rnacentral:ncRNA from 1 species
UUAAAAGCUAUGACAGAGAGAAAAAUAUUCAAAUACUUUAAUUACAGAGAAUCAACAUUUGCUGAGAGUUGAUGUUAAAGUGAAUAUAUAAUAGUAGCUCUAGAGCUUCCUUGUUGAAAAAAAUGAGUAGAUGAGGACGUAUACCAGCGAUAUAUGGUUAGGGUUCAUCAGAGAUAACAUAUAGUAUGUAUUAAUUAUACUUUAUUUGUUAUUUACUAUAGAUCGACCUGAAAAAGAUGUGGUUAUAAUAUAACCAUAAAUAGGGUGGUACCGCGGAAGUAUAGUCUUUCGUCCUUAUA